rnacentral:rRNA from 1 species
UACGGAGGGAGCUAGCGUUAUUCGGAAUUACUGGGCGUAAAGCGUACGUAGGCGGCUUUGCAAGUUAGAGGUGAAAGCCUGGAGCUCAACUCCAGAACUGCCUUUAAAACUGCAUCGCUUGAAUCCAGGAGAGGUGAGUGGAAUUCCGAGUGUAGAGGUGAAAUUCGUAGAUAUUCGGAAGAACACCAGUAGCGAAGGCGGCUCACUGGACUGGUAUUGACGCUGAGGUACGAAAGCGUGGGGAGCAAACAGG